rnacentral:rRNA from 1 species
GACGAACGCUGGCGGCGUGCUUAACACAUGCAAGUCGAACGGAAAGGCCCUGCUUUUGUGGGGUGCUCGAGUGGCGAACGGGUGAGUAACACGUGAGUAACCUGCCCUUGACUUUGGGAUAACUUCAGGAAACUGGGGCUAAUACCGGAUAGGAGCUCCUGCUGCAUGGUGGGGGUUGGAAAGUUUCGGCGGUUGGGGAUGGACUCGCGGCUUAUCAGCUUGUUGGUGGGGUAGUGGCUUACCAAGGCUUUGACGGGUAGCCGGCCUGAGAGGGUGACCGGCCACAAUGGGACUGAGAGACGGCCCAGACUCCUACGGGAGGCAGCAGGGGGGAAUAUUGCACAAUGGGCGGAAGCCUGAUGCAGCAACGCCGCGUGCGGGAUGACGGCCUUCGGGGUGUAAACCGCUUUCGCCUGUGACGAAGCGUGAGUGACGGUAAUGGGUAAAGAAGCACCGGCUAACUACGUG